GAGGCACUCCUAUAGAGCAGGACUUGCUUCAGUGGGGCUUUGGUGCUCACUGAGUUUGCCCCUUAAGUGUUUCUCU
rfam:Myotis lucifugus cont2.53593, whole genome shotgun sequence.